rnacentral:siRNA from 1 species
UGGUACAUGAUGGUAUUGUUG